rnacentral:rRNA from 1 species
GACGAACGCUGGCGGCGUGCUUAACACAUGCAAGUCGAGCGGAAAGGCCCCUUUCGGGGGGUACUCGAGCGGCGAACGGGUGAGUAACACGUGAGUGAUCUGCCCCUCACUCUGGGAUAACUGCUUGAAAGGGUGGCUAAUACCGGAUGUGACCACGUCCUGCAUGGGGUGUGGUGGAAAGCUUUUGUGGUGGGGGAUGUGCUCGCGGCCUAUCAGCUUGUUGGUGGGGUAAUGGCCUACCAAGGCUUUGACGGGUAGCCGGCCUGAGAGGGUGACCGGCCACACUGGGACUGAGACACGGCCCAGACUCCUACGGGAGGCAGCAGUGGGGAAUAUUGGACAAUGGGCGGAAGCCUGAUCCAGCAACGCCGCGUGAGGGAUGACGGCCUUCGGGUUGUAAACCUCUUUCAGCACAGACGAAGCUGACUCCACGUGUGGGGUGGGUGACGGUAUGUGCAGAAGAAGCACCGGCCAACUACGUGCCAGCAGCCGCAGUAAAAC